rnacentral:rRNA from 1 species
UACGAAGGGUGCAAGCGUUACUCGGAAUUACUGGGCGUAAAGCGUGCGUAGGCGGUUUGUUAAGUCCGUUGUGAAAGCCCUGGGCUCAACCUGGGAAUUGCAGUGGAUACUGGCGAGCUAGAGUGCGGUAGAGGAUGGUGGAAUUCCCGGUGUGGCGGUGAAAUGCGUAGAGAUCGGGAGGAACACCCGUGGCGAAGGCGGCCAUCUGGACCAGCACUGACGCUGAGGCACGAAAGCGUGGGGAGCAAACAGG